rnacentral:lncRNA from 1 species
CGUCCGUCUGUCUGUCCGGCGUAAACAUGUCGCACCGUAACUUGAGAACGACUUAUCCAAAUUUCAUGAAACUUAACAUAGUUGUUUCUUAUGAUGGUCAAAUGAUCUGUAUCUUGUAUAUUUUGGUGAAAAUAAGAUUAAAACUUUUUGAGUUACGGCACUUUGUAACUAAAACAGGGGUGUGUUUUUUUCACAUGUCGCACCGUAUCUCAAAAACGAUUCUUAAUUAUGGCUUAAAACUUUAAACACUUCUUAGUUAUAUUAAUCUUAAUAUCUGUAUACUUUUUGGUGAUGAUUCAAAAUUUUAUUUUUGAGUUAUUGAGUAUUUUGUAAAAAAAGGGGGAGGGUUUUUU